rnacentral:lncRNA from 1 species
AUGAUGUUGUUUAUCCACAGUGUGCUGGUCUUGAUGCUUGUGGCCACUGCUGUGGCCCAAACUGGAGUUCCACGAAUAAGAUACAGGGUAGACCAGUGGACCGUCUCUGUGGAGACUCCACAGAGUUAUGACUCAGAUGAGCUUCAGCCCUUUGACUCAGAUGAGCUUCAGCCCUUUGACUCAGAUGAGCUUCAGCCCUUUGACUCAGAUGAGCUUCAGCCCUAUGACUCAGAUGAGCUUCAGCCCUUUGACUCAGAUGAGCUUCAGCCCUAUGACUCAGAUGAGAUCCAACCCAUUGGAACAGAUAAGUCUCUUGGUGCCGAUGAACAAGGUGAACUGAUUGAUUCUCCAGUCUGGUUUCUGUUUCUGGUGGUCCCUAUGGUGGUGUUGACAGCUAUGGGAGCUCUGGCUGUGGGUUACUACCUGUGUGUGUGGAGGGGAGGCAGACUAGGCUACCGGCCCAGGAGAGACUUACUGACAAACGUUUAACCAAUUUGCUUUCUGCUCUGUUUGGUUUGAAAAUAAAUUGUUGCUAAUAAAUGUUAGUUCCCUGGCUCCUGCCUUUUGUAACACAUCAGUAUAUGAUUUUAUGUCCAUUACAUGAAACAACCACAAUAAGACCUGGUAGUUUCCUGAUGUCAGUGAAUUGAUUGCUACUGGGACUGCUACAUGGCACAAUGCAUGCCAAAUCUGGACCUAGGCAAUUCUAGGCUGUCAGAAUGUUUUUUUUCUUUGGGAUAGACUCGUUCACCUUAUGUUUCUGUCAUGUUAGGGUUGUUGGUAAGCUGUCAUUUAGGACAAACUCGUUGACUAGUCUUGGUGAUACACAUGGUGUCACAUUCAGGUGACUGACCUGAUGGUGCUCCUGAUUGCUUAACACUUUACUGUCCUAGAUAACAACUGCAAUCCAAAGGUUUUCUUUAUCUGCUGCUGAUUUCAGAGCAACUUUAAAAAGAUACCCUUGCAUACCACCAGGGGUCAUAUUGUUCUAGUAUCACUAGGGUAUUGGCGUUUAAACCAUCUGCAUAUAGAACAGAUGGCAUGGGACUGCAUCAGACAAUCACUACCGGUUUCUCCUUCCCUCAACUCUGCUCCCAGGCAGUCGCUGUUUUUUCCCACUGGUCUAGCGUCCCUCAUUAUCAGAACUGUUGUGAUUGGCAGGUUGAAG